AGCUGUGACGUGUUACCUUUAAUUAUCCUCUUCUAUCUUCGAAUCCAGGAUACAGAUUGGACUCGAGGUUACGGACCUCAUACGACGCCCUAGCUUUGCAAGCCAACAUUACUAUGGUGCGAGCAUCAAGUCUGGUGAUAAUCAUGUCAACAGUUCCACCAAUUUCAAUGGAGCAGUGCUUUGUCUCUGCGGCGCAUGUCCUCCUGGUGCCUCAAUGAGCCUGAUAUGCAUGCCUCAACGUUCUCCAGUUACCGUAUUGGUCACCUCAAAAUAUGUGUAUGUCAAGUGAGCGACCAGGACCCCGGAAGAGCAGAAAUCUCCACUCUAUUUUUCGCCGGGGAACGGCGCCACAGACGCGACCUAUCUGCUUCAUCUCAGCAUUAUGAUUUGUGCCCUCCGUGGCUGUAUUUUCGAUUGAACGACGCAACACCAACCGGUUCAUUAAACUGCCGCCUUGUCA